GAUGAACGCUGGCGGCGUGCCUAAUACAUGCAAGUCGAGCGAACAGACGAGGAGCUUGCUCCUCUGACGUUAGCGGCGGACGGGUGAGUAACACGUGGAUAACCUACCUAUAAGACUGGGAUAACUUCGGGAAACCGGAGCUAAUACCGGAUAAUAUAUUGAACCGCAUGGUUCAAUAGUGAAAGACGGUUUUGCUGUCACUUAUAGAUGGAUCCGCGCCGCAUUAGCUAGUUGGUAAGGUAACGGCUUACCAAGGCAACGAUGCGUAGCCGACCUGAGAGGGUGAUCGGCCACACUGGAACUGAGACACGGCCCAGACUCCUACGGGAGGCAGCAGUAGGGAAUCUUCCGCAAUGGGCGAAAGCCUGACGGAGCAACGCCGCGUGAGGGAUGAAGGUCUUCGGAUCGUAAAACUCUGUUAUUAGGGAAGAACAAAUGUGUAAGUAACUAUGCACGUCUUGACGGUACCUAAUCAGAAAGCCACGGCUAACUACGUG
rnacentral:rRNA from 1 species